rnacentral:lncRNA from 1 species
AUGCUGGCGCAAUGCUCACCGGUGACCCACAUUUUUAGCAACAUUAACAACUCGAAGGGAUGCAGUCAGCGUGCUCUGAGAGGCACAAACGGCACGGGCACGUUUUUAUGGCUUUUUGCAGGAGCGACCGACAGCCCGCCCAUCAGAGGGGCACCGCAGCACACCCAUGAGGCGCCAUCCCCUCCCCGCUGGCAGCCAGGCACCGCGUUUCUGAGCCUAAUUCUGGGCUCCCCGGACCCGGGGCAGGGCCUGCAGGCAGCACGUCACCUUCCAGUUACCCGGCGGUGCCCGCAGGCACUGGAGCUACCCGCGCUUUUUGGGCAACGAGGCACUCUGAAGCACGGCUGUCACUCUGAUGGCCUCUGCAGCAGCACAGCUCUUAAAUCCGCUGCCCCGAAGGCUCCUGUGCCCUCCACGCAGCCUCCUAACCGGCCACCGCCUCCCGAGACACCCGCUCGAGCCAUUUCCCUUUUCCCCCCCCCAAGUAUGAAACAGUUCAAUGCGCUUCUGACUGCACGCUUUAACGUCUGGCGUGCAGCUCACAACGCCGCUCAUUUAGCUAAUGAAGAUUAAAAAAAGACAGCUGCAAAGCACGCUUUGCUAUCCCACUAGAGAAAGCGCCGUGAGCAGCUCAUGAGACAUCUGUGAACCUGUGCAUGAACUGCCCGCUCUUCCCAGCCCUCACGAUGAAGGGCUGAGCAGCGACAUUUGAGCCACAACAGUACCUCCUUUGUUCCAGAUGCAAAUCCCAUCAUAGCCUAGUCCAUCUGUAUCUCUAUCGCCACCGAAGUCAACUCUUUGAAGGAUUCCUCCGAGAAGAAUCGGAAAAAAAUUAACCAAGUGCAACCAUCUGCUUGGCUAGUGCCGACUGGGACAGGGAGGGAAGGAAAGGCAGAGCGUUACGGCCUACCGAGACACGUGCAGCAGGCGUGUUUCAGUUUCCAAGCAGAACGCUGCCAUUUAUUUUGCCCUGUACAACUUUACAUAGCCUGGGGGCACAGCCGUGGCCAGCCGCAGUAACCCAGGGGCUGCAGGAACCGCUGGCACAGCUCAGGAGAAGCGGCUGCUGGCACAGCGCUCCCGGGUGCAGCGCUCCAUUCCCAGAGGUUACCUUCGGAACGUGGAGGCCUGCAGCUCGCACGCAAGGUCUGCCAGGAGAAAGCGAAAGGCUUUUGGCAAGAUACUCGGUUAUAGUUCUUCAUUUAUUAUUUACCGAGGCACUUCAACGCUGGACACUUACGAGAGACAUUCUAGACAACAAAGGCAGCACGUCAGGAAAAACCCUUUCCGCACACGUAACGUUCCGGCACGGCUGGCCGCGCGCUACACGCGAGCUCGGCAGGUCGGACCCCAGGCAGGGCCUUCCCACAGCCCCUCCACCGCCGAGCGGCGGCGUGCUGAAUCGAAUCUGCCGACGCUGCAGCAGGGGGAUCUGCGCUCGUGGAACGGCGCGCAUCAAGGACACGGCGGCGAGGCAGCUGCUAACGGGCUCGGCAAGUGGGCGAAUUUACACCCGCUGCCCUCCUGCUUCUGCCGCCGCCUCCCAGAGCGGCCGGUGGGCACAGGAGCCUGCGAGCCUGGGAGCUGGGUUUUUACACUCAGGAUGCGCACGGUUCCACCCAUGCCCGCGUAACUUUUUAACCUGUAUGAAAAAAUGUAUUUUUCAUACCUCUGUAUUCUUCCACAACCACAUCAAUGCGAACCAAGAGGCUAAUUAUCCCCUACUUUGAAAGCCUGCUGGUAAAACAAAGGCACGGUUAGGUGAAGCUUUCUGAGAACACGGGAACACAAGGCUUGUAUCGAGCGUUCAAGACAAACGCGUACAGUGGGUUUGAACAGCACAGAUUUCAUAAACUGCUCCGAAUUUGUAGGUAAAAAAGGUGUUCCACAAAUUGUCAUUGGUAUUUCACCUGAAGAAAGAAAAAAGGUUGAUUCUUUAGAAGAGCAAAAAGGUCACCCUUACCUAAUUCCACAGAGAAAAAUCAAAACCAGGGGAAGAAAGAGCCCUCUCAAUCAGUUUGGCUAGCCCCCCAUCUGGUCUGGAUUACCUCUUCAUUCCUCCCUUUCUAACGGUUUGCCCACUCGCACAAAGCAGUGGGCCGGGACGGCACAGUGCUCAGGUGCCUCAGCUAAGCACCUGCCAGCUACGUGCCAGCCUGACCCCGGCCCUCCCGCGGGCACACGAGUCAGCCCCGGAGGCCCCGAGCCUCCCGAACUCACUGGUGCAGGUAGCGGGGACCUCGCCUGGGGAGGCCGAUACCAUCUACAAAUGAAAGCCAUGAAAUGUCCCAACUAAAUCAAGGGCUCAUCACCGCUGGGAAGGCUGGAUGGUGUGACUUACAGAGCCGGAACCACGUAUCGCCAACCUUAAGCUGUCCUAGAAGGAGAGUGACUUCGGCACACCAGCUAAAACUUCGUACGGCAAAUGGAAGUUGUCACUCUGAAACCUUAAAAUAUUUCUCUUAGAUUCCAGCUUUAAAAAUAGACCGGCAUUAUUUCCAUGACUGAUUUUUCUUUAAAUAAAUGCAAAUGAUCCAUCCA